GCAGGUGAACCUGCGGAAGGAUCAUUACAUGGCACGUCUACGUGCAGACAUGCCUGGGCUUCGGCCUGGGUAUGCUCUUGUCCUUGCCUGUUGUACCUUUUGUUGCUUCCUCGGCGGGAGCCAUCCCGCCGCUAGGAACCCCCAAAACACCUUGCAAUUAGCAUUUUAUUCUGAUAUCAUACCUAAAUCGUUACAACUUUCAACAAUGGAUCUCUUGGUUCUG
rnacentral:misc_RNA from 1 species